rnacentral:rRNA from 1 species
GGAGUCUGCAACUCGACUCCAUGAAGUCGGAAUCGCUAGUAAUCGCGGAUCAGAACGCCGCGGUGAAUACGUUCCCGGGCCUUGUACACACCGCCCGUCAUACCAUGGGAGUGGGUUGUACCAGAAGUAGGUAGUCUAACCUUUCGGGGAGGGCGCUUACCACGGUGUGAUUCAUGACUAGGGUAAAGUCGUAACAAGGUAGCCCUAGGGGAACCUGGGGCUGGAUCACCUCCUUUA